UCAAUCUCCUGCAUGAUUGUCAUGUGUGCUUUUUACCAAUGGCAUUGAUACUGUUGACCAAGCCUAGAGUUUCAGAUCCUUUUCAGCACAGCUGCCAGCUAAACACUCCCCAACUUGUAUGUAUGCUUGUUGCUCUGCAUCUACAUCUUGCACAUAUCCUUACUGAAUUGCACUCUCAUUUUUCAGAUUUAUUUCCUGUUUGUCAAGAUCACUUUGAAUUAUAGUCCUCCUGCCUGAAGUGCUUGCAGUUCCUCACAGGCUGGUGUAACUGCCAGUUUAAAGAGCUUCCUCUUUACAGCCCACUUCAAGAACUAAUGCAUCAAAAGGUGUCAGCCCCACGGCAGACUCCUGCAGUGAAAUAAUGAUACUUCUAAAGCUACUUCUAAAUAGGUUUUCUACCAGUUUUGUACCUUCAAUGUGCAUAUUUAAUUUCAGAGUACAUAACAUCUGCAUGAGCAAACAAGGGAUAUGUGAAAAAGCGUCAAAAACUCUACAAAAGAUGGAUAUAUAUGGCAUCAGUUGCUUCUUCCUUAUGCACAAAGUGUUACCCCCUCAAAGCAUGUUACUCAUUUCACAGAAAGAAACUAUGAUUUGACCCAAUUUAUUUUCAACACAAUGAUGAUGAGUGCUACUUCAGUCAUGCAGUGGUUUGAUUAUUCAUUCCAUUAUUUGUUUUUCUUUUUUUAAUAGGAGUUGCUGCUAAACCGAUGGUUAGGUAAUUUCCAAACAACACUUUAAUCUUUCCCCUAUACUUCUAUAUUUGUCAUUGCUCAGCCCUGAAGUUCCUUGAGAUGGUUCAAAGGAGGAUCACAAAAGCAGAACAGCAGAAGAAUUACAAGCAGAUCAGCUGAGUGCUACUGAAAGCAGAAUGGUAAUCACAGCUCCUACUCUGACCACCUCUUCUGAUCUGGUAGAUAAGAGGGCACUUCCCUUCAACCACAGGAGUACCUGCACAAGAAGCUUGGCCAGAGGUCUGAAGAAAAAUGCAGAGGAACCAGAGUCACUGAAAGUCCAGUAUUAUCUCAUUACUGCUAUUACUAAAAUCAUCUGCCAUCAACAAUGCAAAAUAGAUGAAUUCUAAUUUUUCUUAGGUCCUAUGGUCCUUCAAGACAGAAUUUAGUACAUAGCUGGGAGUGCAUUACUACUUUGAUUAGGAUUUGCUACUAUACUCUUAUUAGGAUGAAAGGCUGUACUAGACUAAGGCCACAGGUGAUCUGAUUCCAGUGACCACCAAAUUAAAGGUCAUCUUGAAGAGCAGGAAUCAAAUUUCUCUCCUUAUAGUCGACUCCAGAAAUCUAUGGAAGUGUUGUGCAUGUUUGUUAACAUCCUUGCACAGGAUUUUUUAAUCUGCUUGAUAAUGUAGAUCAAAUGUCUCACUUUGUUCUCUUGCUUGACAAAACCAGAUUAAUUUAAAGUCAGCAAAUCAUACUGAAAAUCCUUAAUUUAGUAGUCUUGUCUAUGGUCUGAUUGAAACAAAAAUAAUUGAGUAGUUGGUGAAAGUUAAAAACAGCUAAUAGAAAACAAUCAACAGUUUAUAAUUUCACCUUUUUCUCCUAGGAAAUAAAUGUUUGGCAUUUUUUAAGUUUAGGCAGAAUAGGAUGCUUGUAAUACUAAUUUCUUCAUCAUGCACUGAUAAUAAAUAUUGGGCAACUGAGAAAUUCUGGUGGAAAAUAUUUGAUUUUCAAGAACUGUUUCCAAGAUCCAUUCAGCUACAACAACAUUGCUAUUUGUGACACUGAAUAUGGCUUUGAGCUCUGUACAGAUGAGCUAGUUGUAAGAAUUUCAGAUUUCAAACCUUUUGGUGGUAGCCAGCUGUCCACACUCUCUGAUACCUGUUAUUUGAUGCAGCUGCCUGUUGAACUGCUUAGCAUCAUUAUUUCCUAUUCCUCUAAACAUAAUCCUAAAAGCAGCUUAGUAACAAAUGUGGUAGCAGAGCACUGUGGAUAUCUGUGUCCUGGGACAGCCUGGGAUUAUUCGGUACUUAUGCCUCUCCUGUCUCAACACUGAAUUUGCUAAAAUCUAGAAACAGAACCACUCUGCUGUCUUCCUGUCACACUUUCUUUUAUGUAAGCUAAAAAUCUCCAAAUUCUAAAAUUACUUGUGCCAUUAGCACCAAAGUAAACACAGUUGGAGACUAUGGCUCAGGAAGUAGGGGACAUCAGGAUACUGGAUAAAGGAAGCAUGAAAAAAAUCAACCCCAACCAAUGUUUCUUGCAGGAUGAGAGUCCUUUCUCCAAAUUCCUUCCAAAAUCAGCAGCUGCCAGUGACUUUGGGGGUUGAAAUAAAGGCUGAAGCCUUCUCCCCAUUCCUAGGAAUUGUUCUCUGCUCUGUUUCCUCUAGAGCUCAGCUUUGAAUCUGUAGGCAAUGCCGUAGGCAAGUAGCUGUGUCCUCUCAGGAAUAUCCCUGUCUGUAAUCAUGCUGCUCACCAUUUCUCUUUUUGUCUUUUCCAUCUGCAUUUAAAAGGUUCUGCAAAGAUGAGCUUGCUUUUGAAAAAAUAAGCAAUUCCCCCCUUCCUUCUCCUUCCCAGAAGCUUCAAAUUUAGAGUACAGCAGCCAGAGUGAGGUAAACAGAGUCUUCCUCUUGGUUACCGCCAAUGCAACCUCUUUAAGUAACAGAAAAUGUAACUCUAGAUUCAUUCAAUAAGUUGGAAACAAUCUAUAAUUUGUAGCCACAGAAUUAGAGCAGCAAAGAGUUCCAAAAUUAGACAAUUUUUAGCAACAACUUGGAUUUAAAGAGACAUUAUUGCACUAUAUAGAAGUAGAGAUUUGUCCACUACUAUUUAACCAGUUACAGGAAAUACUGGUUUGUGCCUUUCAGUAUAUAAGACACCUAUUCUUAUAUCUAAAUAUAUUUUUCUUUGGUUUCACCAUGGAGACAGCUUAUUAUUAAAUAAAAGUUUAGUUUAGGAAUGGUUUUAAAUGUUUUAAAACCAUUGGUCCUCAACAUGGUGUUAUUAGUUGUAUGAGCUGUAUGAGCUUAUUUUACACAGGUUGUGACCAACAUUGUUUUCUGUUGUGGUCAACUCCUUUAACACAGAACUAGCAAUAUGCAUCUGAACAAUUUCUAAAUAUUUUAAAUCACCUGCGGAUUAUAAAGCCCAAGGAUUUCCUAUUCAUGCCAUUGGACAAAUAACGUACUAGGGAAAUUGUUCAUCCAGAGUUUGUCCCUGAUACUCUCUGCUAGUCUGUAAAUUCUUUGAUUCAGAUUCUGUUAUUUUGAAUGUGCUUCUACAGUAUCUGGCUCCUGCCUUCAUUAGGAUAUUUAAAUACCAAGAAUUAAUAUAGUGGAAGUGUCUUAUUCUGCAAAUGCAGAACUUGAUAGAAGGACUAAUUUAUUUUGUUUGCAAAUCUGGAUUUUAGGGGGCAGAAAGUAAUCUCAGAUUUCCUCAAACAUAGGAAGCAGGAAAGUGUGGACAUAUGCUGUUACUAAUUUUUAACUUUAGUAGCCAAUUUUAAGAAAAUUUGUGUUUCCUAUAGUUAGACAGAAUCUUCUGUACCUCAAUAAAGAAUUGAAUAAAUUGAACUGAUCCCAUAUAUUAAUAUGACAGCUAGUACAUUCUAGUAUGAAGUAAGUACUCACAAAAGCUUUUAGACCAGUAGUUUUGUAGUCCCACAAUGCCAGUAAUGUUUGGAACUAAAUGCAAAACUAAUUUCUCUGAAUUAACUUCUUCUCGGUAAAUAUUUCAGCAAAGGUCUCAAUUUAACUACAAAACUGAUUGGUGGUAGAAGUGAGAACUUUUGAAUAUACAUUUCUAUUUGAAGUGACAAACAAAUUAGAAAAAUCUGUUUCAAUGUCAUUGUCUUACUACUUUGUGUUGAAAUUAUUAAAUUAAAGUUAUCAUUAUGCUAGAAAUUUUUUUAUUAAUUUAUAAGGAAAUUAGCAAAUAUAAUCUAAAAAACUGUACAAUUCCUUUCAAUCAAAAGGGAGAAGUGUAGCCUUCUCAAUACACUGUCAAAACGGGCAGCUGAAAUGGAAAAAGCAAGAUAAAACUGAACCAGAGUGAGACCAAAUGCUUUAGAAGGAAAAUUGUUUCCCUGGUCAUCAAAUGCACCUGCACAUUGAGGAUAGGCAAGAAAACAGUUCAACUUGUCAACAUUGGGUUCAGCUAUUCUGUCCCAGCCAGCCCUACCUCAGUUUAAUUGCUGGGUGAGGAAGGAGUCAUCUUCAUGGCUCAGAAUCCUCACUGGACAGAUGGCUGCUGCCUCUUGGCUCUUGGCUGGCCACAGGAAUGGGUCUGGAGCAGUGUACAACCUUCAGGCACUGUUUUCUGUGGUCCUGGCUGAGAGUAUGUCAGUUCUUGUCUUCAGAACCUUUUGACUCCUUCAGUGCUACUGAUUACUCAAGUUGAGAGCAAAAAUAAAUAAACAUAAAUUUGAAAAAAUUUUCUCUUAACAGUGUCUCAAGUAUUUCUUCCCUUAUUCUCCUGUAUAUGUUUCUGUUUAUUUGUUUUUUAUUUGGUUUUGGUUUUGGCUUUCUUGUUGUUGUUGGUUUUGGGGUUAUUUUUGUGGAAAAAAACAGCCAUCUCAAACAUAUCCAAUAUAUAUUACUGCAGAAAUCUGUACACUUGCAGCACUGAAACCUGCAACUCCUUGUUAUAUAAAUGUACUAAACAUCGCUUUCCAAAACCAGUUCCUCGUCUCCUUAGCAACACAGGCUGCAAAGAGAUCACCAGCCUGGUGUUCUGCUGCAUGUAUGAGCUCCCAAGUCAACUGGAAGAGUUUUGGUUUAAGAUUCAUAACCUUCCUUUGACCAGUUCAAGCUACAGGUGAGGGAGACUCUUCUUUUGCAUAUGGUCUCAUGAAAGCCAUAAUUUCAAUGUUUACCAUUGGAAUAUAUAAUCAAUCAACCAAGAGGAGCUUCUAAGAAAAGAAAAUUUUCAUGGCAAAAGAACAAUUUAUUCUGUUCCCCCACACCAUGAGCCUAGAACAAAAUAUUUUAAUACUGAAAGAUUUUUUUUAAUAUAACUUCCCUUAAUAACUUAUAAGGAUACAAAAAUGUAUGCAAGAUCAAUACUAUGUCUUUCACAAAACUUCUAGAAACUAAUAAUUUUUCUUCUAUUAUGAGGCAGAAACGUGAGAAAUCUUACUACAGACAAGCCUGUCUGUGUGACUGUUGUGAGGUGCUGUUAUAAGACUAACAGUUAAUAUUAUUGUGCCUGGCUUUAGCCAGCAAAGAUUUGAAUUGCUUCUGGAAAUUAAAAUCUCCUUUUAAAUCAUUCCUCCCCUGGUGCCUUCUAGUUAGCCUGAGGUUUUGUUCAUUUUCAUGCUAGUUCUGUACACACACAAGGUAACAGUAACUUUGUUUAGAGUUAAGACUGAAUUUCAUUUCAGCAGUUGUCACCAGACUCCACUGCAUUCCAUGAGGUCAAAAAAUUGAUGAGGAAACCACUGAUGAAGGCAAAAUCAUGUGCACUUACUUUCAAAUAUUAUAUUAGGCAAAACUUUCAUGGUCUCCUUGAUUAUUUUUACCCUGUGUUGAGAACCAAGAGAGGAAGCCCAAGAGCCCAUCAGUCUUGUAGGUCAGGUGGCUUUGAGCUGCACACACCAGGAUCCUGUCUACGCCUCCAAAAUAGACUGGUGGGAGAAAUGAUACAAGCAUGAGGUCAUUCUGUACUUCUACAGAAAUCACUUUUUCCAAUGUAU